GCGGCGCCCGCCCGCCGAGCCUUGCUCCUCUGCCUCCCCGCAGUCUGCAGUCCCUACCUCCCCCAGGUCUCGCCCCUCACUUCCCGUCCGAAGUAACUUGGACUCUUGCAUGUGUUUCGGUAGCCUGUUCUAAGUAAAACGACAAAACGUUUGUUUAUUCAUCUACACAUGCAACGAGCAGAUAACUAACCGGCACUGAUUGCUGGCUAAUUUCAAGACACAGCUACAGGGGGAAUUCAAGUGUGUGAGUUCAUUCAUGCAAGCCGACAUGUAUCGAGUUUCCGUAACAGGGCUGUUUAGUAGUGUGGACCUGAGGUCCCAAGUCAAGUAUUCAGUUGAGCAAUUUGAAGUGGUCUGUGAAAAAUUCCAAGUAGACAUUUUCCUAUGAGGAAUAGGAAAGAGUACAUAGGAAUGGAGUACAUAGAAAACAUCGUUUCUCUCCCCACUUCCUCUCCUGCUAUUUUGUUUCUCCGGUUUCUUUUGCAGAAAUCAUGGGAAGCACACAGUGUAAUGUUAAACAAACAUGAAUAUUCCCUACAGAUACUACUAACAAGUAUGCUUUCGAGACACACAUUCCGUAUAGUUGCUUCGAAGUGUGUAUUACACAGCUCCAUUUGUUUGUGGGGAUUGAGUCAUCGAAAUAGUAAUUCCUGUGAAAAUUGAAAGUUUGGAAGCAGGUUUCUGACUGGAGCGUGUUUCCUGCCCAGCAGCAGAUUUCCUCCCUCCCUCCCUCUCCCUUUUUCUCUCUCUCCCUCUUUCCCUCCCUUCCUCUUUCUCGCUUUCUCUCCGUGUCUCUCUCCCUUUCCUUUCUCUCUUUUUGCCCAGGCUGUAGUACAGUGACAGCAUCUCGAGUUCACUGCAACCUCCGCCUCCCGAGUCCAAGCAAUUCUCCCUCAGCCUCCAAAGUAGGUGGGGUUACAAGCGCCUGUCAGCACCUGCGGCUAAUUUCUGUAUUUUUAGUAGAGACGGGGUUUCACCAUGUUGACCAGGUUGGUCUUGAACUCUGACCUCAGAUGAUCCGCUCCACUUGGCCUCCCCAAGUGCUGGAAUUACAGGCGUGAGCCACCGUGCCAGGUCCAGACUGUGUCUUCAGCAUGAUUCUUUUUAACUAACAAAUUUAUUUUUUAGCAUCAGCUAGGUCUUUGAGCAUGAUUCUUAUUACGUGUCAAUUCAGUUCGAUUCCUGUGUAUGGAGGGUCCAAAGGAAAAAGAAAGUUACUGGCGGCGGCGGGUCUGGCUGGCGGCAGCGGCGGGAGGGAGCUGACAGACCGGAGUGCCCUUGUGGAAAAGCCGCCGGACCAGCGCGGUGGCUGGAGACACGCCCGCCCCCACCAGAGACUCAGGCCCUCGCUCGACUCGGCCUUCCACGCUCGCUCAGCUCCGGGCCCGGGCUAGGAGGCCGGCUUGCGGGGUUGAGUGGUCCAAGCUGAGGGCGCGGAGACCUGAGGGCGGCGAUGACGACGACCGCGUUGACAUCGGUGGUAACGACGGCCUCAGCAGGCGGGAAAUAUGAAAGGUAGCCGGAUCGAGCUGGGAGAUGUGACACCACACAAUAUUAAACAGUUGAAAAGAUUGAAUUAGGUCAUCUUUCCAGUCAACUACAAUAACAAGUUCUGCAAGGAUGUGCUGGAGGUAGCAAAACCCUGUCUGUUUCAAUGAUAUUGCUGUAGGUGUGGUAUGCUGUAGAGGAGAUCAUUCACAGAAUCAGAAGAGACUUUACAUCAUGACACUAGGAUGUCUGGCACCUUACCAAAGACUAGGAAUAGGAACUAAGGCAUUAAAUCAUGUCUUAAAUGUCUGUGAAAAAGAUGGUACUUUUGACAACAUCUAUCUGCGCAUCUAGAUAAGCAACAAGUCAGCAAUUGACUUCUACAGGAAGUGUGGCUUUGAGAUUAUCAAGACAAGGAAGAACUACUCUAAGAGGAUAGAGCCCGCAGAUGCCCAUGUGCUGCAGAAAAACCUCAGUCCCUUCUGGUCAGAAUGCAGAUGUGCAAAAGACAGACAACUGAACAAAUUACCAAUGAACUUUCUUGCACUUGCUUGUCAUCAAAUAAAAGAGAGACCCAUUGAUUCCCACAUUUUCUUUUAAACCUUUUCUCCCUCCUUGUUCUUGUUUUUCCUUCUUCCUUUUGUUUUCUCUAAGAGUUUUAAUACUUUCAAGGACUUUAUAAAAAAAUCAUGUUUGGAUCGUUUUCUCUUAUUUUUGUGAGGUGGUUUGAAGGAAGGAAAACAUAGAUCUGUUUAAUUUUGCAGUUAAAGUUAGACGGUCCUAAAAAUUUAGUUGUCAUAUAAUUUCAAAUUUAAUGUCCUGCUUUCACAUUGAAGGGCAGAGCCCACAAAAUACUGUAUAUUUCAAAAGAUAAAAAGAAGCAGCAGCAAUAUCUUAUUCUCUAAUUCAUAGACAAGUUGAGUGUGUUUGUGGUACUUUGGGUUUUUAAAGACUUUGUGGAAUACUAAUCCCUAGGCAUUGCCUUCACUCCACCUUUAGUCCUUCUGAGCACUCUCGGCAGUCCAAACAUGGUUACCCUUGUGAGAAAUACUAAGCUUCUUUUGAUUAUUAAGCAACUAUUUCUUCUCUUCUUGCUGGUGGGCGGGGCAGUUUGGUUUAGGUGGUGUUAUACUUUUGUCUAAUUAUUGAGUUAAACUGCUUUUUUUGCUAAUGAGUGGGCUGGUUGUUAGCAGGUUUGUUUUUCCUGCUGUUGAUUGUUACUGAUUGUUACUAGAGGCAUUAACUUUUAGAAUAUGGGCUGGUGAGAUUAAUUUUUUUAAAUAUCCCAGCUAGAGAUACAGCCUUUGACCUAAAGAGGUUUGUUGUGAUUUAAUUUUUCCCCUGUUCCUUUUUAUUCAGUAAACCCAAAAAUACUCUAACCUUAAAAAUUGAGUUGAUGUCCUUAUAGGUCACUACCCCUAAAUAAACCUGAAGCAGGUGUUUUCUCUUGAACAUAUUUUAAAAUACCUAAAAGGAAGCUUAGAUGGACUGUGACAUAAUAAAUGCAAUUAAUGUCAUCCAGUGCCAGUUGUUAAAAGUGUGACCACUGAGCAUUUGAUUUUACAGGAAAAAAUAUCUAGACAGUAUUUUUGAGCAUAACAUAGCUGUGCUAUUGCAUAUCUGUUGGAGAACAUCCCAGAUUUGCUUACACUCUGAUGCCUAUGAUAUUGAGUUUAAGGAUUUGGGGUAGGGAUAAUUGUUAAACGUAUUGCUUCUAUUCUUGGAAAAGCAGAAGUGUAAAGUGUUAAUAAUACAAAUGGCACUGUGACCUCCUCCACUGAGAGGAUUAGUAUGCCAGAUCAUUUCCUGGCACAUAGGGAGUGGCUUUGACAGGUUGAUAACUUUGUAAGAUGGGAGACAUCCGAAAUAUUUAUGUUUUCCUCUUGUAGUCCCAUAUCCAAUAGUUAGACAUUUUCUCGGACUUUAAAA